rnacentral:rRNA from 1 species
GACGAACGCUGGCGGCGUGCUUAACACAUGCAAGUCGAACGGAAAGGCCCUGCUUUUGUGGGGUGCUCGAGUGGCGAACGGGUGAGUAACACGUGAGUAACCUGCCCUUGACUUUGGGAUAACUUCAGGAAACUGGGGCUAAUACCGGAUAGGAGCUCCUGCUGCAUGGUGGGGGUUGGAAAGUUUCGGCGGGUGGGGAUGGACUCGCGGCUUAUCAGCUUGUUGGUGGGGUAGUGGCUUACCAAGGCUUUGACGGGUAGCCGGCCUGUGAGGGUGACCGGCCACAUUGGGACUGAGAUACGGCCCAGACUCCUACGGGAGGCAGCAGUGGGGAAUAUUGCACAAUGGGCGGAAGCCUGAUGCAGCAACGCCGCGUGCGGGAUGACGGCCUUCGGGUUGUAAACCGCUUUCGCCUGUGACGAAGCGUGAGUGACGGUAAUGGGUAAAGAAGCACCGGCUAACUACGUG